AAACAUGAUAGUGCUCACAAUAAAGCUAGGCAACAAUAUGCGGCUUUCAAAAAUCAAAGGCAAUCUAUUGUAAAUGUGAUGGAUCGUGGCACCAUAAAGACCCAAGAAGAAUAUAGAGCUCGUCUUAUCAUUAUUUUGGGUGUUAUAAGAUUUCUUCUAUUACAAGCUCUUGCUUUUCGUGGCCAUGACGAGAGCUCCAGCUCGAAGAAUAGGUUUUUUUUGGAGAUGAUGAGUUGGUACAAGGAGAAGGAUCUGAAUGCUAAGACUUUGCUUGAUAGUGCGGGCGGGAACCAUUUGAUGACUUCACAUGGGAUACAAUUGCAGCUGUGUCAAGCU
rnacentral:rRNA from 1 species